rnacentral:lncRNA from 1 species
ACAUAAAAUCCAAUAUAUCAAAUGUGUUAAAAUCCAGUAAAUAAUGCCAGUAAAGUAUAUACAAAUUUGCACUUCCAAUACACCGAACAAAAAAUGUACAUACAUCAACAUUCACUACUCCUUUCAACAAUGCUAGAACAUGAUCACUUGUUUGUCUUUCAGCAGACAAUCCUUGACCACUGGCAACCGGGGAGCUGCUAGAGAUCGCUCCUCAGCUGGCUUAGCUGUUUGUUCAUCUAAAAAAGAAAAAGGGUUACCUUUCCGUUAAUUUUAGUCUUGCAGUUACAGCCCCUCAAGUAUUUGGUCACCUAUAUUUUCUUGUUUUUUUUCACUACCUUGUUUCAUAAUUAUCCUAUGUAUUUUCUUGAAGAGUGCAGGCUUAUUCUACACCAAUUCCCCUCCAUCCUCGAGUUACCUGGCCACCGUAGCUCCUCUCCUCCCUCUUGCCGCUCCAUGUGCUAGCAUUGAAAAUGCCAAAUUAUAUUGUGUCGCAUUGUUAUGUACGUAGUUCUGAUCAAUAACACAACUACCUAAAAGCAAAUAAGAAAACCAAAGUGAAAUUGCUGGGUAAAUGUCAACAAAUCACAUACUGCUAGAUGAAUCAUAAGAAUAUGUGUACCCCAUUAUGUCUCAAAUCAUCAUAAUACAGUGAUAGGUGAUGUAUAGGGAGAUAAAAGACAUUGGCAAUAAUUAAUAAUCCUUACUGGUUAAAGAAAGAAAUUGGUCAUCUGAAAUUAUGAAUAUGAAGAUAAUGAACCCAUGAAGAUACUAACGAUUAGAAUUAUCCUUCCUUUCAAUCUCCAUCUUUAACAAACAGGAUAACCCAAAAUGAAUAGGCGAUACUUUUAACAAAAAUCUAAAAAAUUUAAGGGUAAGCUAUAGAAUAUGUUACCAUUAAGGUAGAUGUUAAUUGCAAGAACAACUUUUCGAUCAAUGCUACACUUUUGUCAUGCAUCACGUUAACAUGAGCCGCAACUUGUGGAAGAUAACAUGUGCUCAUUAUUCAUGUGCAUCCUGAUCUCCAAGUAUUAACACAAGAAAUUAUUCAGUUGUAACACACUCUAGCCAUGCCCGAAAUAUGAUUAGUGGAAUGCUCUGCUCGGUAAAUUACUACCCAGCGCAUAUUGUUUCACCAAUUUUGAACAAGUGGACUGGAUCGCUUAUCAAGUAUUUUUCAAGCGAGGAAACUAAUAUCUCAUGUGAAAAAAAUGCUUUUCAGGCUUUCCUUUUACAAUACUAUAGAAACUUGGUUCUCUCACAUGUACAUAUGAACCUACUUAUGAUAAUGUUGAUCCCAACCACGUACGGAAACACUGAUUGAGAUUUACUCAAUAGGAUAGCUAAAACCUGACAGUAGUGAUUUUUUAAAUGUUAGUAGUAAUCCAGAACAAAAGAACAAGGUAAGCAAGUGAAAGAGUCAACUUACCUUUAACAAAAUUUCGUCAUAUGCCAAAAAAGAUUCAUCCCUAAAUGUUUAAUGAAGUGAUGCUUCUGGCACUUUUGGUUCCUCCAUAUCACGCUGCAAUGAACAUGUCCCAUUGGAAAAUUAGAUGUAUAAAAAAAUUAAAAUGGCAGCAAUUACUAUUCAAUAGUGAACAAUCAGGCUAUUAGAACAUACCUAUAUACAGUUGUGUAGCACCAUAACAUCUUAAAUUGGGAUAAAGACAGACAGAGUUCACCAUCAAUAUACAAUCAGGCUUCUGAACAAUAACUACCAGCAGCCCAACAGUACUAAUCAAAUGAAAUAAGAUAAAUUCAGUUACUUUAGAAUAGUAGUACCUGGCCAAUGGUUGGCCGUAUGAAGAAAAAAUAAGGAUCGAGAUGUUUAUGUGAAGAAGAACUGAAGUCAUAUCAUCUCCUGUUGCACAACCAACUACUGGCCAAUGGUUGGCCGUAUGAACAUACAAGUACCAAAACGACAUGGACUGUAAUAGUCUUGAACCUAUAUAGACACGGGUUAUUCUAGAAAUAUAUCUGGAACAUGUUGUACAUGCGGCAUCAAUACUAUGGCUGAAUCAAAUGAUCAAUUAACCCUAAUACAUACUACGAGCACCCACAUAUACAAAACAUGCAAUCAGAAGAAAGAAGAGUACAUCGAGCGGCUUGAAAUGGUUUCCCAUGGUGGC